UUUACAUUGGUUUUUUGUUGUUCUUCUUGGGUUUCUAACAUCAUCUAAUUUCAAAAGAUGCCAAAUAACAAAUAACACGAAAAAAAGUAAAAAUGCCUUGCCCUGCCACCUCUUGUUCUUGUUCUGGUUGUCAUUUGGGCUUUUAUUAUUAUUACCAAACACUCUCAUCCCGAGGAAUAUUCCUGGAAUGGCAACAACAACAAAAAGCUCGUAUAAUGGAAUUUAUUUUACGGCCAACAGAAAAACUGAAACAACGUUGUCCAUAUGUUCCAAAGCAAUAUUUUUUAAUGCCCCGCCUGAAGGCGCCACAAAACAACAACAACAAAAAAAAAUAAAUAAGAAAAGAAAAAUGCUUGCGACACCCAAAAGACAAUUAAAAUUUAUUCAACGUUUUUCUUCGAGAGAAUGUCCUAGAGUCCGAGAGGAGACAACAAAAAUGGUGGGUGGAAAAAUAAAAACAUAAAUAUGUAAUAAGCAACAUUCUGAUGAAA